CACAAGUUUCCCCAGGCGUUUUCCUGUUUCAUUACUUGGUUCCUUGGGUUCCCUAGAUACUAAACUGCUCAGCCUUCCUACUCACUCAGCCUGAAUGGAUAAUUGGUGGCAACCUGUCAGCUGUCCCUCCUUCUGCAGCUGAGAAUCAUCCACACACACACACAGGACAUCCCAUCAAGACAGCAUACUGCAGCCAAGCCCCUUUUCCCCCAACUUGUUGACUCCUUUCCCCAUACCAAACAACAAAUGCACGUACUUACUUCUCUCUUCUACCCACGGAGUAUUUCACAAGGAAAAGUUCUAGCACAAACUCUCAUUUGUUCUCCUCUCUUAUCAUUGCUGGGAUAAGCAGGGCUGUAAGCUGCUACCUAAUGCUGCUGAGACGGAGAAGAAAUUUGGGCCAUCCCCAUUUCUUCAUGUCUUGGCACGUAUCAGCUGCAAGAGCGAUUCACCUUCUGAUGAAUUUCUGUCUCAGCAGAACAACCAAGGGAAGAGAAAGAAGUGAUUUCAUAUUUAUAUUGGAUCGUGCUUAUACAGGGUGGUCGAAUUCUGCCUUAACAUGUGUGUUCAGCUCUGCCUGUGAAUACCAGAGACUCAGCUUCAUGUGAAGAUCUUCUGUGGUUCCUGCGCAUCCAGGUGCCAAACUCAGCAGUGAAAGUCAGUGUAGCUGUGCCAAGACUCAGUUUGGGCUACAGCUUUGAAAGCCACAGCUUUGAAAGCCACAGAUGAGGACUGACAAGGCACCGACAGACACAGUUUGGGCUACAGCUUUGAAAGCCACAGAUGAGGACAGACAAGGCACCGACAAGACUUCCAUCACUGGCACAUGUAGAAACACUACUCUGUUUUAUAAACAGGUGUUUCUUUUUAUACAUAAUACCGUAAAGGCCAUUUUAUCUGCCCAAUAAAAGUUUACAAGACAAUUCCA
rnacentral:lncRNA from 1 species